rnacentral:rRNA from 2 species
GGAUUCCCCUAGUAACUGCGAGUGAAGCGGGAAAAGCUCAAAUUUAAAAUCUAAUGGUCCUUGGCCAUUCGAGUUGUAAUUUAGAGAAGCGUCUUCCGCGCCAGACCAUGUACAAGUCUCCUGGAACGGAGCGUCAUAGAGGGUGAGAAUCCCGUCUUUGACAUGGACCCUUGGUGCUUCUGUGAUGCGCUCUCAAAGAGUCGAGUUGUUUGGGAAUGCAGCUCAAAAUGGGUGGUGAACUCCAUCUAAGGCUAAAUAUUGGCGAGAGACCGAUAGCGAACAAGUACCGUGAGGGAAAGAUGAAAAGCACUUUGGAAAGAGAGUGAAACAGUACGUGAAAUUGUUGAAAGGGAAACACUUGAAGUCAGUCGCGUCGAUCGAGACUCAGCCUUGCCUCGGCUUGGCGUACUUCUCGACUUGACGGGCCAGCAUCAAUUUCAUCCCUCGGAUAAUGGCAGGGGAAAGGUGGCACCUUCACCGGUGUGUUAUAGUCUCUUGUCGCAUGCGAGGGGUGGGAUUGAGGAACUCAGCACGCACCUCACGGUGUCGGGGCUUCGGCCCACGUUACGUGCUCAGGAUGCCGGCGUAAUGGCUUUAAAUGACCCGUCUUGAAACACGGACCAAGGAGUCUAACAUGCCUGCGAGUGUUCGGGUGGAAAACCCGUGUGCGUAAUGAAAGUAAAAGUUGGGACCUCUGUCGUGGAGGGCACCGACGCCCGGACCAGACCUUCUGUGACGGAUCUGCGGUAGAGCAUGCAUGUUGGGACCCGAAAGAUGGUGAACUAUGCCUGAAUAGGGUGAAGCCAGAGGAAACUCUGGUGGAGGCUCGUAGCGAUUCUGACGUGCAAAUCGAUCGUCAAAUUUGGGUAUAGGGGCGAAAGACUAAU